CCCAAGGAUUCAUUACAGCAGUGCCGUUACUGUUGAUGAAGUAAAGGCCUUGGCUGCUUUGAUGACAUACAAAUGUGCUGUAGUGGGGCGCCUCAGAGAAAGGAAUUGUACACUCAGGAUUAGCUUUCACCAUGGAAUGUUCAGCCAAGAAAAUCAUGGGUGCAGCCACAAGGUAUAACGUAGACUUGGACUGUUGCCUGUUACUGCGCCGUUGAAAAAGUCUUUUAAGGUUUACAGUGAGUCAAGUUUCACUUCUUGAGACUACCAUCCUAUUGACCUUCUGUCUGUUGCCUGAAGAGGAAAAAGUGUGUGUUACCUGUGAGAAGUUAGAACAUCACAGUGAGCGAAGAGACCUGAGGUGUCGCUGUGAAUUUCUGGAAGCUUUCCCUUCUGUUUACAUCUUACUCCUCCCUUUCCUGUUCCCAAUUUCCUUGAUAUUUAUUUGGAGAGCUGUUCUUUUUUAGACCUGUAGAUGGUGCCAGCCGUUUGGAGAAGCUGUUGAUUUACUGAAUUAUACACUGUAGCUGUUCAAAUUAACCAUCUGUUAGAGUUUAAUGUCUUAUUCUUUUAUUUCAUGUGGCUUGCCUUUACCACAUGCUUGGAAUGCCCUGAUCUCCUUGUUUCAGGGUUAUGUCCAUAUUGUAGCUAGCUCAAUAUUUGGUCCUAAACAUUUAAUUGCUUCUUGGACUGUGGUAAUGGUGCUUUUCCGUCUGUUCAGUGGCCUCUCCUGCAGAUGAGAACCAUCUUUGCAAGUGAAUCUACUUUAUUUCUUCCUGCCAUAAAGGAGAGAUCCUGAGUUUGUGCACAUAUUUUAUUGCAGGCUUGUUCUAACAAGCAUUAUCUGCACUAUACUCCCCAUAUACAUACUCUAUUUAAAUGCCACAAUAGAAAAUCCACACUAAUGUUUUCUGUUCUCUCUUGUUUUGCACCCUAGUUGUGGUGUGCCCUUCAUUUGUAUUCCUAGUACCUGAAUCUCUUUUUUUCCACAGCUAUACUAAAGGCUUGCUGUUGCCUGAGUCACAGCAUUUUCUCAGAAUAUGUUAGUGAAUCUCCACAUACUCUUGCUUGAUACAAGAUACUGAGCCUACCUUCCUGUUGUCAGAAUCUCAAUUAGAAAAAUCAAGUUACUGUUCCUCACCCACUUCCAGCAGAGCUCCAGAAUCAGUCACACCUUUGGUUUCAGCCUGUGUCCAUCCUGAUAGCUGGCCAGAGGACAUCUUACUGCAUUUUUUGUCUUAACGGCAUUUGAAGGGUUGGAGAAUUCUUGGUACAGGUUGUAUGUAUUGGUGCCCAAAGCUCUGGAUAAGAAAACAAUAUCUUAGCCUUGGGUAUAUGAGCAUCAGUACACUUGUGUGGCUGUGGGGUCUUUAAUGGCAUAUUCUUUACUGGUGAGGCUGCUUGCUCAAAAGGAUUGAAUUUGUUGCAAGUAUGCUUGCAAGGCUGGGUGAAUAGGUGCCAAUGAAGUGUUUGUCCAGAAACAACAUCACACAUGUGUAGUCUAGUCAGCGUGCUGAAGUUACUAUUGUUUGUACAAUGAUAUCCAGUCAGUUUGCCUAUUGGCUGAAGCUGUUUCUCAUAUUGCGGUAGGCUUAGGACACAGCAAAAGCCAGAGGCAGCUAUGGCACCCUGUAACUGUGGUUCAUGGAGGGUGGAUGACAAGAAAGAGGAGCCUGCUGCUCCUAGACAAUGGGGAUUGGACAUUUGGAAAAGAUUCACAUUGUAACUGUGAUAUAUUGUCUUUUGGUUUACCAGUGAUGUGAAGAUUAUUGGCCCUAUGGAACAGUUCAGCCUUUAAAAAAAACCCUACUCUGAAAGAUUGUCGUCCCAGUAUUGCUCUUCUAACAAAUUUAUUGGCUGGAAUUUUAACUCACUACUUGCUAAUUACUUAUGGUGUUUCUAUUCAUCCAUGUUGUUGGUUCAAGUUUAACUUUGUUUCAUACUGGAUGGGCACUUCUCAUCAUCACAGUUGUAAAUGGUGACUGAUAGGAAUGCCACAUAUGCCAUAGGUAAUGUCAAAUUUGGACCGUAUCGCUUUGAGCUUUACUGUACUGGACAGCUCCUCCUCUCUCCCAGCUGGCACAUAGUUUUUCUGUACAUUGUCACCUGCAGUUAUCCAGCUUCAGCCUUACACACUGGAUUGAAGAGCUGUUGUUUGGAGCAGAUUAGCGAUAUCAUAUGCUCACUAGAGAGCGGGGGAGGUUAUUUUUGAACCAUGGAGCUAGUCUUGUGAAUGUUUUAGCAUCUAUGUUAUGAUUGCAGAUUAGCAUGAUUUGGACAGGCUUGAUUUCCCCCCCAUAUGAACUUAGGUUGGACUGGGCUGUGAUUGGAUGUAUUGAAUAAUUCUGAAAACACUGGGAUGCCCAUAAAAAUUCCAUUGUGAGAUAACUACAAGAAUUCACUUCACUGUGGAGGAAAAUGUUUGCAUAUGAAUCCUUACUUCUGUACAUCUAUCCUCAGUUCUUUAUUGAACCCUUUCCAAUACAUCUGCAAUCUCUUUGGAACGUGAACAUAAGAUUGAGUGGCUAGUGGAGACCUUAGUAUCAGUUUACUUCAUGAUUUUACUGAAAUGAAGCAUUCUGUGCUAAUCUGAAUUUCAGUAGAUUUGGCUGGCUGAUCACAAGCCUUGUCACGUUUUAGCGGCUUGGGGCCUAUUUAAUUGGUAGCAGGUGUGCCAGGUUCUGCUGCUUGCUGAAAAGGUUUGCGCUUGUCUGCUGCGUUUCUUAUGGUAAAGCUGGAGGAAGGAUCCUUUCCAGCAGAUUCAGUGAAUACAUCACUGGAAAACAACCAGUGCCUCUGGUGACAUGCACCCUCCAUACAACUUGGAGUGUUGGGAAGAAGUGUUGUUUGCUGUCGCCCCGAGCUUAACUGCUCAGUCAUGCUGCAGAAAUCACCCCAGAAAGACAUUGCAGUCAGCAUGGCAAAUGGCUUAGUGCAGGAGGAGGCACUGUUGACUGCCUCACUGCUGCUGGUUUGUGUGCUGGGAAUGCACCACACUGGCUGAUAAGAAGUUUUGGGCUAAUGUGCCAGAACUGGAAUCUGAAUCCAGAGAUGUUCCUUGCAUGAUUUGGACCAAGAACAGCUUUCAUGGACUGGAGUCUCUUCAUCUUGCUUAGGAACAAUACUUUCUAGGAUUAUUCUCAGCUACCAGGCAGCUGUAUUAAUCGUUUUAGAUAUUGAUAUGCAUAGUGAUGUGAUAUUUAUUUAUACAGCAGCAUCAGUGGUAGGAUGCUUUAAGAGUAAUGAUGACAAGAGACCUGGAAAUAAUAUUCCAAGAAAUGAAUGUAUAGAAUUUCCAUUGUUUGAAGUCUUCAAAUGAAAUAUGAAUCAAUCUAUUAAUCUUAGGGAUGUUUGCAAACCAUCACUUUAUUCACCUAGACCCCGUAAAAACAUUGGUUAGCUCUUUAUGUAUGUUUGCAUUCUCUCUAAUAUAGUUCCUUGUUCAAACACCUUCACAUUGGCCUUAAAAAUCCAGAAUUGCUUUUUGAGAUGGACUCUGCAUAUAACCAUAGUGAGGCUAUACAGUGUGCCUUUUUUCCAGCCAAAAGCUUAGUAGGAAAGCAGACUUGGUAGACUCAACCCUCUUCCCACAAUAAACUAAUACUGGCUUCAUUUGUUCAGACUUUCCUCCUUUGCUUGUGACCUUGCUUUGCAAUCUGGGCAGCUUGGCUCUGGUUGCUCUCCAACAGGGAUUGCUUUUCUACUAAUAGAAGCAAAGUAUCAGGCCACUUUCAGUCUGAUAGAUCAGGCUGUCGUUGCAGAUGUCAAAUUAGUUAAUGCCACUUGAACCUAAACUUUCUUUGGGCUGAAGAAGAAAGCAAACACUUUCUUCCCUCCAAGUAGACUUCCUUCUAGCAGUGUCCCAUCCCAGUUGCCUGUAGAAUGGAAAAGGGGAAGCCGCUAGUGUCAGAAUAGGCAAGAUAUGAGGUAGCUUCUCGGCUGCGCAUUAUGUGUGUCUGAAUUUCUGCAAUUCUGUGUGCUGGCCGUUCAGUGCACAGGGAACCAGACUUAUAUGUAAGUUUGUGCAUUCUGUAAAAGUUCUUAAUAACUAUGGAUUUUCACUGUGCUUGAAGUCAUCUAUUGGCAUGCUAGCAGUGUGCAGUAUUAACAUGUAUUUGUAUCUUAGAGCAAUUUACAAAUAUACUCUAUCAAGGCCACGAACUUACUGCCCGUUAGUUAAGAACUCUGCUAAUGCUCUUCCUCCUUUCAUGGUACAAUGAAAUUGUACAGGUACUCUUCUCCGCUGCUUUUUAUCCAAGGGUGUUUUUUCUGAACACCUAUAGGGCUCAGAAAAAAAACCCAGAUCGCGUAAAUGGACUUGGAGCGGGAGCAGACAAGAAGGUAUUACCUCUGUAGCAAUGUAUCUGGCAGUGACUGUAACAUUUUGUUAACAUGCUCAUUUACGGCACUACUUGCAGUGUGCAUUUUUUGCUGAAUGGCUGUAAGCUUGUCUAGACACUGUGCUUAUUACAAGGAUUGGCAUUCCCACAGCAACUUUCCCACUCUUAUCGUUUAAAUUAGAACAACUCACAGCAUGAGUCACCACCCUUCACAUUGUGAGUUUUCCUACCCUGUGAUCUACAUCAAUGGCCUUCACUGUGGGCGCCAAUUUUUUCCAAUUCUCAGAAUGUAGUAUUUUUGCUUCAUUCCUCUUCCCAUACUACAUAUUAUGACCAUUGUUAGCAAAUCACUAAUAAAUGGAAAAAUAUACCAUAGGUAUUAUCAGCACAGAUACUGAAUGAAUAAAGGAAAUUAUAUUUCUGGUCUCUUAGGAGUAUUUUAUUCAGUGUUUUAUCUGAUGGUCUUAGAGAAAGACCUUAGGUUAGGGGUUGAGUUAUGCAGAUAAACUGACUUCAUUUGAAAAAAUGCAUAAAAUGCAGUAGUUCUAAGUGUGAAAUUACGCAUUUGGAAAUGUUUACUGGGGACAUCACCCAGGUAGCUUGAUAUUAAAUUUAUUUUAUGUAUGCAUGUGUGCCACCACUAUGACCGUGGUGUAUGUGCAUCAGACAAAUUUGUGGGUGCUUUACUGAAAACCACAGUUAAUAGCUGUGAACUGUUACACAGCACAUUAAGCCAAUAAUCAACAUAGCAUGUACUAAGUAAAGCCAGGCCUCAUUAGCCGACUUGAGUGUUUGAAAGCUCUGAAAAAAUGUGGACUGCUAUAUGUGCAGGCACUGGUAAAAUCAAAAUAAGAGGUUGGAACAUGGGCCAUGGUGGAAGAGACUUAGACAUGUUUAUCCAGAAGACCUUUGCUAUUGAUAAGGGGCAUAGCGUUAGGUUGGUUCUAAUAUUUGUGUGUUUUAUUUAAAAGGAUUUUAAUAUAUAUGGCUAGAGAUUUGUGCAAUCUCUAAUAGACCAAAAGAAUGCAAAAAUUGUCUGCCUCCAGAAGCCUUUUCUAACAUUUAUUGUAGCAAUGAUACCAGUGUUGGCUGGGCAGCUUAGCAGAGAUUAACCAUCACAGAAGAGAGCCCAUACUUGAAAAGGAUGCAUCCAAGAAAACUGUGUUAUAUUAAACAUCUUUCAAUUUUCAGAAGCACAGAAUUUAUUCCCUCUGUUGCAGCCUGCCUGAACAACAGCUUUUGAGUGGGCAUUUCACUUUUCCCAAAUGUACAGAGAGGUACAUUGAAUACCUUACUCAGCAAGAGUUGUACAUCCUGUCUUCCCUCAUCUGCUACAUGGACAGCACUGCACUUGAACAUGUAGUAAUUAGUGCCUGAAACACUCUCAGCAGCUGCCUUAGUGUUAGGUUCACUAGAUGUAAAGAUUGAAAAGGUUCCUGCAUCUUUUUAAGUACUGAUGUGUAAGAGACUAAAUUUUGGCAGGUGCAGCUUAACCUAAGAGCCUUGCAGGUGCAGGGCCCGAGGCAAAUCACACUGUGUAGGCUCCCCUUCUGCUUUCAUUUCCCAGUAUCUCUGACACUCCUCCUCUUCAUGGUGAUGGUGCAGUGACCUCUCCAACGAACAUUUUGCUGCUGCUGUAGCGGUGGCUG